AGAUUGAACGCUGGCGGCAUGCUUUACACAUGCAAGUCGAACGGUAACAGGCCGCAAGGUGCUGACGAGUGGCGAACGGGUGAGUAAUGCAUCGGAACGUGCCCAGUCGUGGGGGAUAGCGCAGCGAAAGCUGUGCUAAUACCGCAUACGAUCUAUGGAUGAAAGCGGGGGACAAAGGCCUCGCGCGAUUGGAGCGGCCGAUGUCAGGAUUAGCUAGUUGGUGGGGUAAACGGCCCACCAAGGCGACGAUCUGUAGCUGGUCUGAGACGGACGACCAGCCACACGUGGAACUGAAGACCACGGGUCCAGGACCUCCGUACGGGAGU
rnacentral:rRNA from 1 species